GACGAACGCUGGCGGCGUGCUUAACACAUGCAAGUCGAACGGAAAGGCCCUGCUUUUGUGGGGUGCUCGAGUGGCGAACGGGUGAGUAACGCGUGAGUAACCUGCCCUUGACUUUGGGAUAACUUCAGGAAACUGGGGCUAAUACCGGAUAGGAGCUCCUGCUGCAUGGUGGGGGUUGGAAAGUUUCGGCGGUUGGGGAUGGACUCGCGGCUUAUCAGCUUGUUGGUGGGGUAGUGGCUUACCAAGGCUUUGACGGGUAGCCGGCCUGAGAGGGUGACCGGCCACAUUGGGACUGAGAUACGGCCCAGACUCCUACGGGAGGCAGCAGUGGGGAAUAUUGCACAAUGGGCGGAAGCCUGAUGCAGCAACGCCGCGUACGGGAUGACGGCCUUCGGGUUGUAAACCGCUUUCGCCUGUGACGAAGCGUGAGUGACGGUAAUGGGUAAAGAAGCACCGGCUAACUACGUG
rnacentral:rRNA from 1 species